GCCGACGUGGUGGAAUUGGUAGACACGCUAUCUUGAGGGGGUAGUGACCUAGGUCGUGCGAGUUCGAGUCUCGCCGUCGGCA
rfam:Thiobacillus sp. SCN 63-57 ABT23_C0009, whole genome shotgun sequence.